UUCAUGCAUGGGUGGGGUCCGGCCAGCCUGGCCAGGGGGAGGGGAUAUGGACGGUUGGCUGGCCUUCCUGUUGGUCAAAGGGACAAUUUGCAUAUUAGCCUUUUAUUAUAUAGGAUAUACACUGAGUGGCAAGAUUACUGUGCAUUCAGAGAUCAUCGUAAUCUGGCCACUCAGUGAAUAUCAACAGUGAAAAGGGGAAUGGGUCUUAAGUAAACAACUUGCGUUUUGCUUUAGUGCAGGACAAGUUGUUAUAAGGGCAUGAUCCCUGGUCAGUUACAAAUUAUUGGGGGAGCCCUUGACUUUUGAGCUAAAUUAACAGAUUAAAAUAUAUUGGAAAGUUGAAUGUAAAAAUAUGUAAGUUAUAAAUAUAUUUAUACUGCAUUUAAGAGAAGUGGGGAAAUGCAUGGUAAGAGCAAACUCAUCUUUUUAUUUGUAACCUUUCAUUACCUCUUAAUGUCAUAAUAUUUUAUGUGUCCUCAACAGAUUUAUAAAGAGUAUAUGAAGAGAUGUAUAUUUGAAAAACUGAAAAGUAAUAGGAAAGAUAACUUUUUAAAGGAAAAUUAAAAUCAUGGAAGAUCAUGGAAUUUCAGAACUGCAAGGAACCUGAGCAUCCUGGGAUGCUAUUCUCAUUUCACAGGUGCAGGACCGAGGUCUAAAGAGGUUGUGACUUGUGCAGGUCACAAGGCCAGGUAGUCAGAGCUGGAGCUCGAUGCUCAUGCUGCCUUCUGCUCUGUUUGUGAGUGUGCCUGGUGAAACGAGAAGAAACACCCGGAGGAGUUCCCUGUGC